AAAACCACAAACAAUAAAAUGCUCCGCAGGGAGCAGCUUGAUACGACCGCAGAGGUCGAACCCUGAACAGUUGGGGCAAGUAUGGACACAACAUUCAAGCUGGAUACAGCUCUGAAUUUGGAUUGUGAUUAAAUAUUUGACACAGCAUAGGUUUCUGACACAGAAAGAAUGUGGUCUAAGAACUUCAAUUUUUUUAAUUUACCUAUUAUGGUCCAAUGUCCAAAAUCAAAAUACAUGGUUAGAUUCAGCAUAUCAAAGAACCCCAUAUAUUCAAUUUUUGUUGAAAUCAAACAAAGUUUAAUUUUGGACCCCAACUUGGACAAACUUGAAAACUGGUCCCAUAAUCAAAAAUCUAAACACAUGUUUAGAUUCAGCAUAUCAAAGUACCCUAAGAAUUCAAUUUUUGUUAAAAUCAAACUAAGUUUAAUUUUGGACCCUUUGGACCUUAAUGUAGACCAAUUUAAAAAACAGGACCCAAAAUUAAAAAUCUAAAAACACGGUUAGAUUUGGCAUAUCAAAGAACCCCAAUAAUUCAAUUUUUGAUGAAAUCAAACAAAGUUUAAUUUUGGACCCUUUUGACCUCAAUAUGAACCAAUUUGAUAGUGGGCCCACAAAUAAAAAAUCUAAAUACAUGGUAAGAUUCAGCAUAUCAAAGAACCCCAUAUAUUCAAUUUUUGUUGAAAUCAAACAAAGUUUAAUUUUGGACCCCAAUUUGGACCAACUUGAAAACUGGGCCAAAAAUCUAAAAUCUAAAUACAUGUUUACAUUCAGCAUAUCAAAGAACCCCAUAUAUUCAAUUUUUGUUGAAAUCAAACAAAGUUUAAUUUUGGACCCCAACUUGGACCAACUUGAAAACUGGUCCCAUAAUCAAAAAUCUAAACACAUGUUUAGAUUCAGCAUAUCAAAGAACCCCAAAAAUUCAAUUUUUGUUAAAAUCAAACUAAGUUUAAUUUUGGACCCUUUGGACCUUAAUGUAGACCAAUUUAAAAAACAGGACCCAAAAUUAAAAAUCUAAAUACACGGUUAGAUUUGGCAUAUCAAAGAACCCCAAUAAUUCAAUUUUUGAUGAAAUCAAACAAAGUUUAAUUUUGGACCCUUUUGACCUCAAUAUGAACCAAUUUGAUAGUGGGCCCACAAAUAAAAAAUCUAAAUACAUGGUAAGAUUCAGCAUAUCAAAGAACCCCAUAUAUUCAAUUUUUGUUGAAAUCAAACAAAGUUUAAUUUUGGACCCCAAUUUGGACCAACUUGAAAACUGGGCCAAAAAUCUAAAAUCUAAAUACAUGUUUAGAUUCAGCAUAUCAAAGAACCCCAUAUAUUCAAUUUUUGUUGAAAUCAAACAAAGUUUAAUUUUGGACCCCAACUUGGACCAACUUGAAAACUGGGCCCAUAAUCAAAAAUCUAAACACAUGUUUAGAUUCAGCAUAUCAAAGAACCCUAAGAAUUCAAUUUUUGUUAAAAUCAAACUAAGUUUAAUUUUGGACCCUUUGGACCUUAAUGUAGACCAAUUUAAAAAACGGGACCCAAAAUUAAAAAUCUAAAUACACGGUUAGAAUCGGCAUAUCAAAGAACCCCAAUAAUUCAAUUUUUGAUGAAAUCAAACAAAGUUAAAUUUUGGACCCUUUGGACCUCAAUGUGGAAUAAUUUAAAAACGGGGCCCAAAAUCCAAAAACUUAAUACACAGUUAGAUUCAGCAUAUUAAAGAACCCCAAGAAUUCAAGAAUAAAACCCCAUUGAAAUUGAUCAAGAAAUAAGCAAUUUAUACGAAGUAUCUUCUUUUGCACAAUACUGUGCAAUUGAAUAUUUCUUGCUAUUGCGCAAUACUGUACAAUUGACAAUUUCUUGCUAUUGCGCAAUAUUGUGCUAUUGGAUAUUUCUUGCUAUUGCGCAAUACUGUUAAAUUGAAGAUUUCUUGCUAUUGCGCAAUACUGUGCAAUUGAAGAUUUCUUGCUAUUGUGCAAUACUGUGCAAUUGAAAAUUUCUUGCUAUUGCACAAUACUUAUUAUAUAAUAAUUUACACAUCCUGUUUGGUGUGUAUCUCCUACCAUAUCAUUAUUAUUUGCUUUUAAAUAUAAAUCAGAAAUAACCAACUUAAAAUGGAACAUUUUAAAAGAAAAAAAAAAGGAAUAAAAAGAAAAAAAAAAAAAAAAAAAA